GCCUCCUCCAGCAUCAGGAUGUGAGCCACCAGCAAGGAGGGACACCAAUAAGGCGUCCGAUAAGAUAAGUCUUAUAAAAUAUAUAGAUGUAUGAUAAUUGAGACUGAGCUAACAGAUGAGAAUCCUAGUCAUUGGCCAAGCACCAUUGUACCUAAUACAAGUUUCUGUGUAUUCAUUUGGGCCCUAACUCAGGCGGGCGGCUGGCAAAAAGCUUACACGUGGCGGUGGGGCUCAGCGGCUUUUGGCAGAAAGAUUUAUCGUAACAUCAUUCUCCUCAGGGCACACCCACUUUGGGAUCCCUUUAUCCAAUAAACCAGAAAGCUCACUUCAAAACAAGAAGCAUAAAGGCACUGUGUGUGUGUGUGUGUGUGUGUGUGUGUGUGUGUGUGUGUGUGUCUGUCUGUCUGUCUGUCUGUCUGUCUGUCUGUCUGUCUGUCUGUCUGUUGGGGGGUGGUGAUGGCUCAGUGGGUAAAGUGUUUGCUGCAUAAACAUGAAAACCUGAGUUUGGAUUCCCCAACACCCCUAUGAAAAGCCAGGACUGGGAGUGCACACCUGAAUUAGAGACCUGGGAGGCAGAGCCAGGACGAUUCCUUGGGGUUUCUGGCCAGCCAGUCUGGCUGAAUCAGUGAAUGCCAGGUCCCAAGAGAGACCCUGUCUCAAAAUACAAGGUGGAGAGCAAUAAAGAAAAACACUGUAAUUCAACCUCAGGCCUCCAUGAACACACAGACCUUGAACUCCUGGGUUCAACUCCUUUUCUUUCCUCAGCCUCCCAAGUAGGUCGGACUACAGGUGUGCACCAUCUGGCCUGGCAACUAUCAGGGAUUUCCAUGAAAAGAUAAACAAUGACUGGUAUUUUCAAAAGCAACUAAAUGCUUUCAAGAUGACUUUGCUUUCUUUUCCUUUUCAACGGCAGGCACCUUUAGCAACCCAGAAUUUCUGUUGUGGCAGCUGAUUUGUCUAGAGAUAAUGCCUGACCUAUUUACUUUCUGCAUUGUGCUCUUGUUUGUUUGCUUUUUAGCUGUGUCUGGUAUAGGAGGAUGAUGGGCAGUGAAUCAAGAGCCCCGUGCAAGCUAGGUGCACCCUUUAUGCACUGAGCUACAUCUCCAGCCUGAGAGGAUUUUGUUUUCUUACUUAAAGUGCCUCUGAGAUGUUGCUCUUAAAAUGAAUGGAGGGGAAAGUUCACCAAUGCCAUGGAAGGCUCCAGAACCCAAAAGAUCAACUUUGCCUUCAUCUGAUCAAGACUACUGCCCCCAGCCUCUAGGUGAGAAAGGACCAUUGGUGCCAAAAGACCUUCAAGCUAACCACCCGAAAAUAAGCGCAGGCUGCAGAAGACGUUUGCUGCACACUGAUUUCUUUCAGAUCACCCAUCUGGCCUGCUUUCUUACCCAGCUUCCUGAGUAACUGGAACUACAGGUACUCAUCACCUGAGAUUGUUAAUCUUGAUUGUCAACUUGACUGGAUCUGGAAUCAAGGUAUCAGGUGUACGUGCAGCUGAACUAUUGAACCUGCCUGGCUCUGGGUGUUGGAACUCCCAGUGACAACAGCCUUCAGACAGAUCCCAGAAGCACAGAGGUUCCCAAGAUGCUCACCGAUUCCAUUUUGACAUGCUCCAGUGCUUCCAGCCAUAACCUCCUCGGCAGGUCUCACAAACUCGUGAUGUUCUGAAUGAAACAGCACUUCAGAAAGUCCGAAAUAAGUCUCUCCUUUGUCCACAUGUAUGCAAAGCCCAUUAUGUAAUACUAAUUCUACAUUAAAACCAGUUUAGUGUAACAAGCGAAGACAGUGUGGA
ensembl:lncRNA